CUACAGUAAAGUCUGCAGUCUAGUAUACUAGUAUUUUUUAUAAAGAAGACAACAACACAACAAGAGACACACAUGACAACAGUGUUCUGUCUGUAAAAGAGGCCGCAGUCACAUUCUCCCUGCUUCUGAACAUAGACAUUCUUGUGUUUUAUGGGUCACAGGUUUACUCCUCUACAACAUCAGAGAGGAUCCCCUGAAAGACUGGAGACAGAAGAGAAAGCAGUCCUACUAGAUUUGUGUCUACAAGCAGCACUAGAUCACAGAGAAACAUUCCAGAGAACUGUGAACACACUGCUGUCACUGUUCUCUGUGUAUCAAACUGAGAGAUAUGACAUCCUGCUGGAUCUGUACUCUCAUGUGAAGUACAAUAGGAAUCAAACAGCCAGGAGUGUCCUUCCAUCAUUGCAGCCACUUUACCAGUCAGCUCCUGCAGUCUGGUCCAUAGACCUCUCAGAGAGAAAGACCUCCCUCCUCCUAGAAGUGCUGAAACUCCAACCAGGGAAGAAACCAGUAGAGCUGAAGGGCUGGUCAGAUGAAGAGAGUGAAGUGAGGAGUUUCCUUCAGUGUCUGUCCUACAUCUCACAGCUGAGAUUUUCUCCACUGAAGGAUAACAUAAAUAGGAGAAAGAGAGACAAGACAUGCCUACUGAAUCUGUGUCUUCAAGCAGCUCUCCAUGAGAGAGGAACCAUACAAACAACUGUAGAGAAAGUGGUGUCGCUGUCUAAAGUAUAUCACAACCAGAAAUGUGAUUUCCUGCUGGAUCUGUACUCACAUGUGAAGGACUAUGAGACUCAAACAGGCAGGAGUGUCCUUCCAGCAUUACAGACAGUUUACCAGUCAGCUCCUGCAGUCUGGUCCAUAGACCUCUCAAAGAGAAAGGCCUCCCUCCUCCUAGAAGUGCUGAAACUCCAACCAGAGAAGAAACCAGUAGAGCUGAAUGGCUGGUCAGAUGAAGAGAGUGAAGUGAGGAGUUUCCUUCAGUGUCUGUCCUACAUCUCACAGCUGAGUUUCUAUACAGACUGGUCUGAUCCCUCAAAGCAGAUCAAGUUCCUGGUGGAUCUCCUGUCUCAAGCAGCAGAGUGGGAGGAGCAGACAGGAGAGAAGACACUGAAGCUGGUAUCAUCAGUGUGGACUUACAGCACCUUUCCCUUCUGUGAAUGGGAUCAUGAUGUUGAGGAAUAUCAAUGUGAUUUCCUGCUGGAUCUGUACUCACAUGUGAAGGACUAUGAGACUCAAACAGGCAGGAGUUUCCUACCAGCAUUACAGCCAGUUUACCAGUCCGCUCCUGCAGUCUGGUCCAUAGACCUCUCAGAGAGAAAGGCCUCCCUCCUCCUAGAAGUGCUGAAACUCCAACCAGAGAAGAAACCAGUAGAGCUGAAGGGCUGGUCAGAUGAAGAGAGUGAAGUGAGGAGUUUCCUUCAGUGUCUGUCCUACAUCUCACAGCUGAGUUUCUAUCCAUGGAGGUCUGAUUCCUCAAAGCAGAUCAAGUUCCUGGUGGAUCUCCUGUCUCAAGCAGCAGAGUGGGAGGAGCAGACAGGAGAGAAGACACUGAAGCUGGUAUCAUCAGUGUGGACUUACAGCACCUUUCCCUUCUGUGAUGAUGAUGAUGGUGACGAUAAUAAGGAAUAUCAAUGUGAUUUCCUGCUGGAUCUGUACUCACAUGUGAAGGACUCUGAGACUCAAACAGGCAGGAGUUUCCUACCAGCAUUACAGCCAGUUUACCAGUCAGCUCCUGCAGUCUGGUCCAUAGACCUCAGAAAGAGAAAGGCCUCCCUCCUCCUAGAAGUGCUGAAACUCCAACCAGACAAAAAACCAGUAGAGCUGAAGGACUGGUCAGAUGAAGAGAGUGAAGUGAGGAGUUUCCUUCAGUGUCUGUCCUACAUCUCACAGCUGAGUUUCUAUACAGACUGGUCUGAUUCCUCAAAGCUGAUCAAGUUCCUGGUGGAUCUCCUGUCUCAAGCAGCAGAGUGGGAGGAGCAGACAGGAGAGAAGACACUGAAGCUGGUAUCAUCAGUGUGGACUUACAGCACCUUUCCCUUCUGUGAAUGGGAUCAUGAUGUUGAGGAAUAUCAAUGUGAUUUCCUGCUGGAUCUGUACUCACAUGUGAAGGACUAUGAGACUCAAACAGGCAGGAGUGUCCUUCCAGCAUUACAGCCAGUUUACCAGUCAGCUCCUGCAGUCUGGUCCAUAGACCUCUCAGAGAGAAAGGCCUCCCUCCUCCUAGAAGUGCUGAAACUCCAACCAGAGAAGAAACCAGUAGAGCUGAAGGGCUGGUCAGAUGAAGAGAGUGAAAUGAGGAGUUUCCUUCAGUGUCUGCCCUACAUCUCACAGCUGAGCUGUGGUGAUGACAGGUUCUUCCAGACUGUGUGUGAAUCCAUCCCUGUGAGGUCCAGAGAGGAGGACCAGCAGUUGGCCUCUCUCCUCCAGGCCUUGGGCUCCACCCUGUCACUGGGAGGAGUGUUACCCAGGAAAACCUGCAGGUCUGUGGGGAGAGUCCUGGGUCUCUGUGCCUCCAGAGUGGACCUCACUCUCACCCCCAGCAAGAUCUCUCUCCAAGGAGCCGCACUUCUUUUGAGACAUAAGUCAAAGCUCCACAAGCUCAGGCUGAAUGUGGGCGUGGCAGUGAAACUGUCCAGACUGGUUAGGAGGACAGGGAGAGGUGCUACUCCACUGACUGUCCCAGAACUCUCCCUGGUCCUAAAGAGCAGCCAGCCACCAGAGAGAGUGUUAUCCAGGGCUCUGAGUAGUGUGGCGUCCCUGCUGAGAAUCUGGAGGGUUCAGUGUCUGGACCUGACUGACUUCUGCAUCCAGGGUCACUCUCUCAUCACACUGCUGUGUCACCAGGGACCUCUCUCUCUCAGGUCAGUCUGAAACUGAUGUUUUUUUAAAGUAGAAAUAGUAACUUCAUUCAUGUGUUUUUCUUCAUAUUUCUGACUGCCUGUAUGUUCCAA
ensembl:lncRNA